UUACUUAAAGGUUAAUACUAUCGAAAUGUGCGUAUUUUUUAUAAUUUCAGUGAGUUCCGCAACAUUUAUGUGAUUUUAAUUAACAUAAUCAAAGAUCUCUAUGCACAUAAUCAACUUUUAAAAUAAUUCAAGGAUAACCAAUUUGUGUGCACUUUUUGCAAAUGUAAAUGAUUAAAUUUUUAUAUAUAAAGGAUAAUAAUUAGAACUAGAAUCAGUUUGUUUUAUACCUCACAGAACAGACAGUUACAUAAAAAUGUUCAAAUCUCUGUUGAUUUUUGCUCUUUUGGCUGUUGCUUUCGUAACAGCUAAACCAGACCCAUCUCCAAUUGUGUACUCAUCUUACUCAUCUGCUGCGUAUCCGUAUGCGUAUUCUGCCCCAUAUGCUGGAUACUCUUUCGCAGGUUUUCCAUACCUUGGCUAUGGUGCUGGACUGUACGGAUAUUAUUAAAUCAACAAAAAGUUACCAAUCUGAAAAUGUUUCCUAUACAUUUGAUUUAUAUUUCAUUGGAUGUUGAAUAAAUACUAUUUGUAAACAA